rnacentral:rRNA from 1 species
UACGUAGGGGGCGAGCGUUGUCCGGAUUUAUUGGGCGUAAAAGGCUUGUAGGUGGCCACGUCAAGUCGGAUGUGAAAUCUCCCGGCUCAACCGGGAGGGGUCAUCGGAUACUGGCAGACUUGAGACGGGUAGAGGAAAGCAGAAUUCCCGGUGUAGCGGUGAAAUGCGUAGAUAUCGGGAGGAAUACCAGUGGCGAAGGCGGCUUUCUGGGCCUGUUCUGACGCUGAGGAGCGAAAGCGUGGGGAGCAAACCGG